GACUUCUGCCUUGGGAAGAAACGGCCCUGCAGACGCACAGGCACCGCCUGCUCUAGAUUUCUUCUUCUUUAGUGGAGUAGUAAUACGUGUGCGGUACGAAAAGUGUUCUGUGCAGAAAGACACAGAUGCCAUUAUUCCUAAUGAGGCUGCCAGUGUUUCAGCCAUGUUUACAUGUAUUUUAUUAAUUCAUUUUUAUAUAUUCACUUGUUUAGGUACCAGGGAUUUAGCCCAGGGGUGCUUUACCACUGAGCCACAUCCUCAGCCCUUUUUACUUUUUGUGUUUUGGAGACAGGGUCUCUCUCAGUUGCUUAGGGCCUUGCUAAGUUGCUGAGGCUGGCUUUGAAUUUGCCAUCCUCUUGCCUCAGCCUCACAAGGCACUGGGAUCACAGGCAUGCAACACCACAUCCGCUUUACAUGUAUUUUAACAAAGCCUAGCAUGUAACAGAUUUAAAGUUCUGCUUUCACUUCUAUCUUAUUUAAAAACCAAGUAUCUUGGUUGCAACCAUCUUCCUAUUUACAGAUGUAGUUACUCCAUAUUCAGCAGUGUGUGUGAGGGGGCACAUUGU
rnacentral:lncRNA from 1 species